UGGCGGCAUGNUUAACACAUGCAAGUCGAACGAGACCUUCGGGUCUAGUGGCGCACGGGUGCGUAACGCGUGGGAAUCUGCCCUUUGCUACGGAAUAACUCAGAGAAAUUUGUGCUAAUACCGUAUAAUGUCGUAAGACCAAAGAUUUAUCGGCAAAGGAUGAGCCCGCGUAAGAUUAGCUUGUUGGUGAGGUAAAGGCUCACCAAGGCGACGAUCUUUAGCUGGUCUGAGAGGAUGAUCAGCCACACUGGGACUGAGACACGGCCCAGACUCCUACGGGAGGCAGCAGUGGGGAAUAUUGGACAAUGGGCGAAAGCCUGAUCCAGCAACGCCGCGUGAGUGAUGAAGGCCUUAGGGUUGUAAAGCUC
rnacentral:rRNA from 1 species